rnacentral:rRNA from 1 species
GACGAACGCUGGCGGCGUGCCUAAUACAUGCAAGUCGAGCGAAGUUUUUCUGGUGCUUGCACUAGAAAAACUUAGCGGCGAACGGGUGAGUAACACGUAAAGAACCUGCCUCAUAGACUGGGACAACUAUUGGAAACGAUAGCUAAUACCGGAUAACAGUAUUUCUCGCAUGAGAGAUAUUUAAAAGUUGGUUAUGCUAACACUAUGAGAUGGCUUUGCGGUGCAUUAGCUAGUUGGUGGGGUAAAGGCCCACCAAGGCGACGAUGCAUAGCCGACCUGAGAGGGUGAUCGGCCACACUGUGACUGAGACACGGCCCAGACUCCUACGGGAGGCAGCAGUAGGGAAUCUUCCGCAAUGGGCGAAAGCCUGACGGAGCAACGCCGCGUGAGUGAAGAAGGAUUUCGGUUCGUAAAGCUCUGUUGUUAGGGAAGAAUGGAUAUGUAGUAACUAUACAUGUAAGAGACGGUACCUAACCAGAAAGCCACGGCUAACUACGUG